rnacentral:rRNA from 1 species
GUCCAGACUCCUACGGGAGGCAGCAGUGGGGAAUAUUGGGCAAUGGGCGCAAGCCUGACCCAGCAACGCCGCGUGAAGGAAGAAGGCUUUCGGGUUGUAAACUUCUUUUAAGAGGGAAGAGUAGAAGACGGUACCUCUUGAAUAAGCCACGGCUAACUACGUGCCAGCAGCCGCGGUAAUACGUAGGUGGCAAGCGUUGUCCGGAUUUAUUGGGUUUAAAGGGUGCGUAGGCGGACGCUUAAGUCAGCGGUAAAAUUGCGGGGCUCAACCUCGUCGAGCCGUUGAAACUGGGUGCCUUGAGUGGGCGAGAAGUACGCGGAAUGCGUGGUGUAGCGGUGAAAUGCAUAGAUAUCACGCAGAACUCCGAUUGCGAAGGCAGCGUACCGGCGCCCAACUGACGCUGAAGCACGAAGGCGUGGGUAUCGAACAGGAUUAGAUACCCCGGUACG